GAGCUAAUACCGGAUAAUAUAUUGAACCGCAUGGUUCAAUAGUGAAAGACGGUUUUGCUGUCACUUAUAGAUGGAUCCGCGCCGCAUUAGCUAGUUGGUAAGGUAACGGCUUACCAAGGCAGCGAUGCGUAGCCGACCUGAGAGGGUGAUCGGCCACACUGGAACUGAGACACGGUCCAGACUCCUACGGGAGGCAGCAGUAGGGAAUCUUCCGCAAUGGGCGAAAGCCUGACGGAGCAACGC
rnacentral:rRNA from 1 species